GAUGAAGAGCGUAGCGAAAUGCGAUAAGUAGUGUGAAUUGCAGAAUUCAGUGAAUCAUCGAAUCUUUGAACGCACAUUGCGCCCCUUGGUAUUCCAUGGGGCAUGCCUGUUCGAGCGUCAUUUGUACCUUCAAGCUUUGCUUGGUGUUGGGUGUUUGUCUCGCCUUUGCGUGUAGACUCGCCUUAAAAUAAUUGGCAGCCGGCGUAUUGAUUUCGGAGCGCAGUACAUCUCGCGCUUUGCACUCAUAACGACAGCGUCCAAAAGUACAUUUUACACUCUUGACCUCGGAUCAGGUAGGGAUACCCGCUGAACUUAAGCAUAUCAAUAAGCGGAGGA
rnacentral:misc_RNA from 1 species